rnacentral:sRNA from 1 species
GGCUCUUGCUGACAAGGAGCGCGAGAGGCGAGCUGUCAGAAUCAAGACAAAAGCCAACGAUGACGGGUUGCGGCCUUUUCAAGCCAGCAAGCAACAGGGUAGUAGAGACAGGCAAACAGAGGCAACGGCGGCGGCGGCGGCGGCGG